GGAUGCGAUCAUACCAGCAAUAAAGCACCGGAUCCCAUCAGAACUCCGAAGUUAAGCGUGCUUGGGCGAGAGUAGUACUAGGAUGGGUGACCUCCUGGGAAGUCCUCGUGUUGCAUUCC
rnacentral:rRNA from 2 species